CUGUGGACAUAAACACAAUGCUGUUUUUUUCUCUUCUGUUCAUAGUCUAGUUAUUGGUUCUGGAGUGAUGGAACCAGAAUUAUCUAUACAAUAUGGUCUCCUGGACAACCCAGUCGCGGUAAAGAUGAGAACUGCGUUGAGAUGAACUCUGCCCAUGGCAACUGGAAUGAUGCGAUCUGUAAAGUAGCUAAGCCCUUUGUGUGUGUGUACUGAACCAGCAUGUGAAGAAUCAAUGUACAAGAAACAAGCUACUUUGAUUCAUUUACUUUCCAUUAGAAAUGUUUAAUGGAGGCUAAUAAAUGUGUUAGAAAGGUU